UACAGAGGGUGCAAGCGUUAAUCGGAUUUACUGGGCGUAAAGCGUGCGUAGGCGGUUCGCUAAGUCGGUUGUGAAAUCCCUGGGCUUAACCUGGGAACUGCAGUCGAUACUGGCGGACUAGAGUACGGUAGAGGGUGGCGGAACUCCGGGUGUAGCGGUGAAAUGCGUAGAUAUCCGGAAGAACACCUAUGGCGAAGGCAGCUCUCUGGGACGGUACUGACGCUGAGACGCGAAAGCGUGGGGUGCGAACAGG
rnacentral:rRNA from 1 species